GAAUUCGACAUGUGUAAUUUAUUCUUCAUAUAUUUUGAAGAAAUCGCCCCUGAAAUAGGAAAUCUGUGACGAACAGGCAGCCUUGAAUAAGACCCUGGCGCUACAAAACUAAGUAUAAUAGGAUCCAGCAUAAAAACACGACUCUGCACUCCGAAGCUAGUUCCAGUAAGAACGCACAAGCCUAUAUUGGUAUUGAUUGCAUCCAAAGCUUAAGCUGGACCGCGAGUAGGACUCGGUUAGCCGGCAACUCAUCAACCCGUGGCUGAAGCUGCUGAAGAUCACGCAAUUAUCCCGGCUUUAUGAGAAAGAGGCAGCUGGCGUUGUCCAAUCCAUCGUGCACAACCAUCAUCGACGGUUCAGUUGAACGGCAUCGAUUCAACACUUCCAAUCCAUUUGUACAAUACAUACGUAAAGGUUGAUAUUUUUAGCAGAACAGAACAUAGCGCAAGAAGCCAAGUGAGUGGACACGCCGUGCGGUAAUAGUGUGGCAAGGGCUGUUGUCGAGGAAAAUAAGGAAAGCACUGAUGGGAAGAAAGCCUCUGGAAACGACGACGAACGCAAUGCGGAGGAAAACAAAGUCAGAACCUCACAUACAACUGUUCUCGAUUUAAACGAGGAUUGCUGGAUAGUGCUAAUGGAGUAUCUGGACGUAGAAGACCAGCUAAGGCUCGCAUCAUCGAACGUGUGUAUCGGAGAGAUGGUCAAGAGAUACGCAAGCCACCGCUACAAACAUUGAUAAAAACUCAUCAAAAGGAUUGGCAACGAAGAUAUUGGAACAGAUUGCAGAUUGUUAGGGAGCAUAGCUAACCUAUGAAGAAUAUGGGCGAUGCGCAACUGAUGCUUUUACGGAGACACUGUACGAAUAUAGAAUAUUUUAAAAAUGAGAUUUGAGCAGCCUAAUAAAGCUCACAUUUUUGCGCGCUAUUCUGCCAAUGAAUGAUAGCUUGUGUACGGAUUUUGUUUAAAAUAUCAAGCAAUUCACGUGUCUACGGAACCUGAAGUUGAAAGCUUCCUACAUGGAGGUAGCGGAUUGUAUUCGUGGACGUUGACAUGCAAUGACUGCAUCUUUCAAGAGGCGAUGCAGUUACUGCACCGUCAAGUGGCCCGU
rnacentral:sRNA from 1 species